rnacentral:rRNA from 1 species
AUUGAACGCUGGCGGCAUGCUUUACACAUGCAAGUCGAACGGCAGCGCGGGCUUCGGCCUGGCGGCGAGUGGCGAACGGGUGAGUAAUGCAUCGGAACGUGCCCAGUAGUGGGGGAUAGCCCGGCGAAAGCCGGAUUAAUACCGCAUACGACCUGAGGUUGAAAGCGGGGGACCGAAAGGCCUCGCGCUAUUGGAGCGGCCGAUGUCGGAUUAGCUAGUUGGUGGGGUAAAGGCUUACCAAGGCGACGAUCCGUAGCUGGUCUGAGAGGACGACCAGCCACACUGGGACUGAGACACGGCCCAGACUCCUACGGGAGGCAGCAGUGGGGAAUUUUGGACAAUGGGGGCAACCCUGAUCCAGCCAUGCCGCGUGCGGGAAGAAGGCCUUCGGGUUGUAAACCGCUUUUGUUCGGGAAGAAAUCCUCUGGGCUAAUACCCCGGGGGGAUGACGGUACCGGAAGAAUAAGCACCGGCUAACUACGUG